rnacentral:rRNA from 1 species
CAGCAGCCGCGGGAAUACGGAGGGGGCUAGCGUUGUUCGGAAUUACUGGGCGUAAAGCGCACGUAGGCGGCUUGGUAAGUUAGAGGUGAAAGCCUGGAGCUCAACUCCAGAAUUGCCUUUAAGACUGCCGAGCUAGCAGGUGAGAGAGGUAAGUGGAAUUCCGAGUGUAGAGGUGAAAUUCGUAGAUAUUCGGAAGAACACCAGUGGCGAAGGCGGCUUACUGGCUCAUACUGGACGCUGAGGUGCGAUAGCGUGGGGAGCAAACAGGAUUAGAUACCCCCGUAGUCCCUGUCUCUUAUAC